AAAUUGGGAAAAAGAGAAGCAGAAGCAGUAGAAGCAGAUUUUGGAACUGAAGAACACGUGAAAGUGAGAAGAGCCAAAGGGGGAGAAGAACUUCGAAGAUCCGACUCUGAGAUUAAGGAUGUAGCGGCGUGUGAUUGGGUGAAGAUAGCUUAUAAGCUAGCCCGUAGUUCGUGUCGAGUCAUGCUCUGAUUGUAACACUGGGAUCGAUUAGUCUUAGCGUUACUUGAGAUACUAUGUUGUUAUUUUGUUUAUGGAUUAUGUAUUGAUGAGCUGUUUGGAUAUGCUCCUAACAUUGUUUGAAAUAAGUUUCCGCUGUGAUGAACACAUGUUGAAGUUUGGUUAAUUUUAAUAAAAGCAUGACAAUCGACUUUGAUGUUUUAUUUA